AGUGAACGCUGGCGGUAGGCCUAACACAUGCAAGUCGAACGGCAGCACAGUAAGAGCUUGCUCUUACGGGUGGCGAGUGGCGGACGGGUGAGGAAUACAUCGGAAUCUACUUUUUCGUGGGGGAUAACGUAGGGAAACUUACGCUAAUACCGCAUACGACCUACGGGUGAAAGCAGGGGAUCUUCGGACCUUGCGCGAUUGAAUGAGCCUAUGUCGGAUUAGCUAGUUGGCGGGGUAAAGGCCCACCAAGGCGACGAUCCGUAGCUGGUCUGAGAGGAUGAUCAGCCACACUGGAACUGAGACACGGUCCAGACUCCUACGGGAGGCAGCAGUGGGGAAUAUUGGACAAUGGGCGCAAGCCUGAUCCAGCCAUACCGCGUGGGUGAAGAAGGCCUUCGGGUUGUAAAGCCCUUUUGUUGGGAAAGAAAAGCAGCAGGUUAAUCCCCCGCUGUUCUGACGGUACCCAAAGAAUAAGCACCGGCCAACUUCGUG
rnacentral:rRNA from 1 species